AUUGAUUUUGGUCGCCAACGAGUGGCGGACGGGUGAGUAACACGUAGGUAACCUGCCCAGAAGCGGGGGACAACAUUUGGAAACAGAUGCUAAUACCGCAUAACAGCGUUGUUCGCAUGAACAACGCUUAAAAGAUGGCUUCUCGCUAUCACUUCUGGAUGGACCUGCGGUGCAUUAGCUUGUUGGUGGGGUAACGGCCUACCAAGGCGAUGAUGCAUAGCCGAGUUGAGAGACUGAUCGGCCACAAUGGGACUGAGACACGGCCCAUACUCCUACGGGAGGCAGCAGUAGGGAAUCUUCCACAAUGGGCGCAAGCCUGAUGGAGCAACACCGCGUGAGUGAAGAAGGGUUUCGGCUCGUAAAGCUCUGUUGUUAAAGAAGAACACGUAUGAGAGUAACUGUUCAUACGUUGACGGUAUUUAACCAGAAAGUCACGGCUAACUACGUGCCAGCAGCCGCGGUAAUACGUAGGUGGCAAGCGUUAUCCGGAUUUAUUGGGCGUAAAGAGAGUGCAGGCGGUUUUCUAAGUCUGAUGUGAAAGCCUUCGGCUUAACCGGAGAAGUGCAUCGGAAACUGGAUAACUUGAGUGCAGAAGAGGGUAGUGGAACUCCAUGUGUAGCGGUGGAAUGCGUAGAUAUAUGGAAGAACACCAGUGGCGAAGGCGGCUACCUGGUCUGCAACUGACGCUGAGACUCGAAAGCAUGGGUAGCGAACAGGAUUAGAUACCCUGGUAGUCCAUGCCGUAAACGAUGAGUGCUAGGUGUUGGAGGGUUUCCGCCCUUCAGUGCCGGAGCUAACGCAUUAAGCACUCCGCCUGGGGAGUACGACCGCAAGGUUGAAACUCAAAGGAAUUGACGGGGGCCCGCACAAGCGGUGGAGCAUGUGGUUUAAUUCGAAGCUACGCGAAGAACCUUACCAGGUCUUGACAUCUUGCGCCAACCCUAGAGAUAGGGCGUUUCCUUCGGGAACGCAAUGACAGGUGGUGCAUGGUCGUCGUCAGCUCGUGUCGUGAGAUGUUGGGUUAAGUCCCGCAACGAGCGCAACCCUUGUUACUAGUUGCCAGCAUUAAGUUGGGCACUCUAGUGAGACUGCCGGUGACAAACCGGAGGAAGGUGGGGACGACGUCAGAUCAUCAUGCCCCUUAUGACCUGGGCUACACACGUGCUACAAUGGACGGUACAACGAGUCGCGAACUCGCGAGGGCAAGCAAAUCUCUUAAAACCGUUCUCAGUUCGGACUGCAGGCUGCAACUCGCCUGCACGAAGUCGGAAUCGCUAGUAAUCGCGGAUCAGCAUGCCGCGGUGAAUACGUUCCCGGGCCUUGUACACACCGCCCGUCACACCAUGAGA
rnacentral:rRNA from 2 species